CAGCACCUCAAGUGGUCAGGAUGAUUAUUGGGCCUAAAGCAUCCGUAGCCGGCUCUGUAAGUUUUCGGUUAAAUCUGUACGCUCAACGUACAGGCUGCCGGGAAUACUGCAGCGCUAGGGAGUGGGAGAGGUAGACGGUACUCGGUAGGAAGGGGUAAAAUCCUUUGAUCUAUUGAUGACCACCUGUGGCGAAGGCGGUCUACCAGAACACGCCCGACGGUGAGGGAUGAAAGCUGGGGGAGCAAACCGGAUUAGAGACCCGAGUAGUCC
rnacentral:rRNA from 1 species